rnacentral:rRNA from 1 species
AGAGUUUGAUCCUGGCUCAGGAUGAACGCUAGCGGCAGGCCUAACACAUGCAAGUCGAGGGGCAUCACGAGGUAGCAAUACUUUGGUGGCGACCGGCGCACGGGUGCGUAACGCGUAUGUAACCUACCUAUAACAGGGGCAUAACACUGAGAAAUUGGUACUAAUUCCCCAUAAUAUUCGGAGAGGCAUCUCUCCGGGUUGAAAACUCCGGUGGUUAUAGAUGGACAUGCGUUGUAUUAGCUAGUUGGUGAGGUAACGGCUCACCAAGGCAACGAUACAUAGGGGGACUGAGAGGUUAACCCCCCACACUGGUACUGAGACACGGACCAGACUCCUACGGGAGGCAGCAGUGAGGAAUAUUGGUCAAUGGACGCAAGUCUGAACCAGCCAUGCCGCGUGCAGGAUGACGGCUCUAUGAGUUGUAAACUGCUUUUGUACGAGGGUAAACGCAGAUACGUGUAUCUGUCUGAAAGUAUCGUACGAAUAAGGAUCGGCUAACUCCGUGCCAGCAGCCGCGGUAAUACGGAGGAUUCAAGCGUUAUCCGGAUUUAUUGGGUUUAAAGGGUGCGUAGGCGGUUUGAUAAGUUAGAGGUGAAAUUUCGGGGCUCAACCCUGAACGUGCCUCUAAUACUGUUGAGCUAGAGAGUAGUUGCGGUAGGCGGAAUGUAUGGUGUAGCGGUGAAAUGCUUAGAGAUCAUACAGAACACCGAUUGCGAAGGCAGCUUACCAAACUAUAUCUGACGUUGAGGCACGAAAGCGUGGGGAGCAAACAGGAUUAGAUACCCUGGUAGUCCACGCAGUAAACGAUGAUAACUCGUUGUCGGCGAUACACAGUCGGUGACUAAGCGAAAGCGAUAAGUUAUCCACCUGGGGAGUACGUUCGCAAGAAUGAAACUCAAAGGAAUUGACG